UCUCUUCCCAGUAGACACGAACGUCAAAUUAUCGGAUCCAAUCCGAGUUGCGUGCUGUCUGGUGUCUGAUAAGAUGAGCGAGCAGCCAGCCAACCAGGCCACCGUCUUAUCUCGAUCCUCUCGAUCAAAUCCUGAGAGCAAAUUGCUGUUCGAUGCGACCUCCAUUUCGAUCUCCCUCUUCUCUUCUCGGUGGGCCUCCGCCCACAGACUCGCUUCUCUUCCCUUCGGUUGCCAUCACCCGCACCGUCUGCCGGAGCACACGAGUCCUUCAGGCGGUCUUAGGCAAGCAAUUUCCUUUUUCGACUCGAACUCGCCUGCAUAGGCUUGCAUGGGUCUACCCGCACUCGGUCAUUUUGCAUUAGUAGAUAAUGGACAAAACUCUGAACAUGGAGCACGAGGUUUGUGGUACUUGCCCGAGCCGUCUUGGCCGCCCUAUCGAUCGGGUUUAUUCUCACCUCCAGGUUAUUUGUCUUAAUCUAAUUGAAUAAAAGUGAAAUGACAACAUUUGUUGGAACAAAAAUGGAUUUUGAUUUGGUUAAACAGUGCGAAUUUAAGGGGAUUAGAACGAUUUCUUUGUCAUCUUGAAAACAUUAGAGGAAUUCGUCCAAUUUUGUCAUAAUUUAAGGGAUCUCUGAAAGUUAUCUUGUGCCCUUUAAGCCCCGAACAACAGUGACCCCGAUGCUAUUAUGUGAGUCAUGAAUCGAAUCCAACCCACGUAAAAAUAGUGUCGGUUGCUCAUCCGAAAGAAGAAAAAGCUGGAUGGGUAUGACUCUUGGUUGCUCCUGGAAGCAAAUUAAACAAAUUACGCGAGCAGGAAAAGAAAAAAGAAGAAGAAGAAGAAGAAGAAAACGCUUUCAAGAUAUUGUCCGAUCGUCCUGACUCUUGGUCGGCCGAGUUAGAUAAGACUUAAGUCGCCUGUAAUGUGGAGCUCUCUUGGUCACGAGUUUGACUUCUCUGGUCGCUCCGUGAUCUUAGAAAGUCCUGAUUUGCCGAUGACGCGGCUCUGGCUUGUGCACCACUUGUAGGGUAAAUCCGGUUUCAUCCCAACUUACGUCCGGUGGCGUGGUGAUGACGGGUUUGCUUAAAAUGAGCAUAAGUUAUUACUUAAAUCGAACAUGCUAGCUACGGGUGUGGUGCUCGUGUGUCGGAUAAUGCUUAGAAGGGGACGGCCGAAGCCGGUCGCUCUUUUGCAUUUCUUUUUGCCGAUCAAGAAAAAGAGAGUAGGGGACCAGGACUUCGGGCAAAUGGAAGGAGGAACACGUUGCGAAUGGAGACACGUUAAAAAAAGCCCGGCUUCUCGAGUGUUCUUGUGUGUUUAUGGAGAAGGGAGCUCCCUCUCCUUCUCUCGUCUUCGCUUCCCUUCCGUUCCACGGAAAACAGUGCGAAUGCUUCCGUGCAGGAUAUCUCAAGACACGUCCUCCAAAGUUCAGAACUUUAUUCGCAUUAAUAUAAUGGGUUCGCUCCAUAUUCCCAUUCCCCGACUUCAAAGUCCUGCAUUUUUUCUUUGGAACGUUAAGUCGUAAAGGAAAGGUCUUCGUCUGCCGAUUGGUCUUGAGAAAUAACAAGCAUGGCAAAUGGUGACGAGAAGAGCGAAGACUUGUACGCAGUUCUGGGGCUGAACAAGGAGUGCACCACUUCGGAGCUCAGGAGUGCUUACAAGAAACUGGCCCUGAGAUGGCACCCGGAUCGUUGCUCUGUGUCGGGAACUUCAGAAGAGGCCAAGACAAAAUUCCAGGAAAUUCAACAGGCCUAUUCUGUUCUAUCCGAUGAGAACAAGAGGUUUCUUUACGACAUCGGAGCCUAUGACAACGAUGAUGACGAAAAUGGGAUGGGUGACUUUAUGAGCGAGAUGGCAGUUUUGAUGAGCCAAACAAAGUCAAAUGAAAUGGGGCAGUGGAGCUUCGAAGAGUUACAGGAAACAUUUGAUGACAUGUUUCGGAGGGAAAUCAAGACGCCUUUUGUAGGCUCAGAGAUGGUGGAUCCGACUACAUCUUCAUCUUCGUGCGAGGGUUACUACGAGACUUCUACUUCCAGCAAGAAGCGUGAUUUCGCAGUAAUGAACUCCGGCAAGAAAGAGGGGGCCCACGGGUCUGAUCUACACUUUAAAAUUUUUUGUCCAGAGGCGCACGGAUUAUGAUGGAACAUCUCUGGAUAGGCAUUGGCCUUUGACCAUAAUCGAGCGCAUUAGCCAAUGCCAAACAGAUGAAGAGGUCGCAAGAUGUGGAGAAAGGAAAGGAGGUUUCAUCCAGUAGGAUGAAAACGUGAUCGGCUUCUGCAUAUUCCUAACAACAGGAGGAAGCCCGACGUCGAAGAUGUACCUAACUUUUGAGUUGGUUGAUCAAGGCAGGGCGUGAUACCACUCGUUCCUGCUGUCAAGAAAGUGGGAGUAACGACUAUUUUGUGCUUUUGACAAAGUUACCAAUGACAAAUUGAUAAUAGCUUCCGAUCACCCUCAUGCCUUGGGCAACAUCUAUGUACAUAUAUUAACGUUAAUAAUGUGUCUCCGGGGCAACUUUGUCUUAGCCUUAGUCUUUUGUCCAAAGAAGCAAAAGCAAGAAAAGUCUCUGUGGGGAAAUAAGAGGCAUUGGAGAGAUAAUCCUCCCACAACCAAGGCCCAAAGUUCAUCCUCCAUUUACGCAGACAUAACCGCGCUCAUUCGAUAGCUUCAGUUCGAGAGCAUGAAAUGCGAUGUCUUUCUCUUAUCAGUGAUGGAGGAAAAUAUAGUGCUUCGAGCUAUAACUUUA